UACGUAGGGGGCAAGCGUUGUCCGGAUUUAUUGGGCGUAAAGAGCGUGUAGGCGGCUUGACAGGUCCGUUGUGAAAACUCGAGGCUCAACCUCGAGAUGUCGAUGGAAACCGUCUGGCUAGAGUCCGGAAGAGGAGUGUGGAAUUCCUGGUGUAGCGGUGAAAUGCGCAGAUAUCAGGAAGAACACCGAUGGCGAAGGCAGCACUCUGGGACGGUACUGACACUGAGGCACGAAAGCGUGGGGAGCAAACAGG
rnacentral:rRNA from 1 species